AUCAGGGACGAAUAGCUCAGUAAAACUGCGAUGAUUUAGUCUGGCUGUGUAGAUAACUACGUGAAAAUGUAGCUAAGGGAAGGCAGAAUAAGACGCAGGACUAUCAGUUAGUUGGUAGUGUAAUGGACUACCAAGACAGUGACGGUUGACGGGAAAUUAGGGUUUUGUACCGGAGAGGGAGCCUGAGAGAUUGCUCCCACGUCCAAGGACGGCAGCAGGCGCGAAAAUUGCCCACUCUUUGCAGGAGGCAGUUAUGAGACGUGAAGAUGAGUAUCUUGUAAAGAGGGAUAGGAGAAUUGGAGGGCAAGUUUGGUGCCAGCAGCCGCGGUAAUACCGACUCCAAGAGUGUGUAUGAGAGAUGCUGCAGUUAAAAAGUCCGUAGUCAUAGAAGGGCAAAGAGAGAUGCGAGGUCUCACAGUGCGAUGAUGGAGGAGCCGAUGGGGAACAUAGUAUACCAGGGCGAGAGAUG
rnacentral:rRNA from 1 species